AGCAGCCGCGGUAAUUCCAGCUCCAAUAGCGUAUAUUAAAGUUGUUGCAGUUAAAAAGCUCGUAGUUGAAUUUUAGGCCUGGCCGGGUGGUCCGUCUUUGGCGAGUACUGUUCUGUGUCGGGUCUUACCUUCUGGUGAAUCGGCAUGUUCUUUAUUGAGUGUACCGGGGAGCCAGGACCAUUACCUUGAAAAAUUAGAGUGUUUAAAGCAGGCAUUUGCUUGAAUAGAUUAGCAUGGAAUAAUAGAAUAGGACGUUGGUUCUAUUUUGUUGGUCUAGGACCACCGUAAUGAUUAAUAGGGAUAGUUGGGGGCAUUAGUGUUCAAUUGUCAGAGGUGAAAUUCUUGGAUUUAUUGAAGACUAACUAUUGCGAAAGCAUUUGCCAAGGAUGUUUUCAUUAAUCAAGAACGAAAGUUAGGGGAUCGAAGACGAUCAGAUACCGUCGUAGUCUUAACCAUAAACUAUGCCGACUAGGAAUUGGGCGACG
rnacentral:rRNA from 1 species